UACAGAGGUGGCAAGCGUUGUUCGGAAUUACUGGGCGUAAAGGGCGCGUAGGCGGUUCGAUAAGUCCCGUGUGAAAGCCCCCGGCUCAACUGGGGAACUGCACGGGAAACUGACGGACUUGAGUUCGGGAGAGGGAAGCGGAAUUCCGGGUGUAGCGGUGAAAUGCGUAGAUAUCCGGAGGAACACCGGUGGCGAAGGCGGCUUCCUGGACCGACACUGACGCUGAGGCGCGAAAGCUAGGGGAGCAAACGGG
rnacentral:rRNA from 2 species